UUUUCUGUAGCAAUACAGGGAAUGGGCGCACGGCGCACGGGUGAGUAACACGUGGGCAACCUGCCCUACAAUGGGGGAUAACCCGCCGAAAGGCGGGCUAAUACCGCAUGACAUUACAGUGGCUUCGGCCGCUGGAAUCAAAGGCCGCAAGGCCGUUGGAGGAGGGGCCCGCGCCCGAUUAGCUAGUUGGUGAGGUAACGGCUCACCAAGGCAUUGAUCGGUAGCCGGUCUGAGAGGAUGGCCGGCCACACUGGAACUGAGACACGGUCCAGACUCCUACGGGAGGCAGCAGUGGGGAAUCUUGCGCAAUGGGCGAAAGCCUGACGCAGCGACGCCGCGUGGGGGAUGAAGCAUCUCGGUGUGUAAACCCCUUUCGACCCGGAAGAAUGUCCCGCAAGGGAUUGACGGUACGGGUAUAAGAAGCCCCGGCUAACUACGUGCCAGCAGCCGCGGUAAGACGUAGGGGGCCAGCGUUGCUCGGAAUUACUGGGCGUAAAGGGUUCGUAGGCGGUGCGGCAAGUCGGAAGUGAAAUCUCCAGGCUCAACUUGGAGGCUGCUCCCGAAACUGCCGUGCUAGAGUGCGGGAGAGGCCAGUGGAAUUGCAGGUGUAGCGGUGAAAUGCGUAGAUAUCUGCAGGAACACCCGUGGCGAAGGCGGCUGGCUGGACCGCAACUGACGCUGAGGAACGAAAGCUAGGGGAGCAAACAGGAUUAGAUACCCUGGUAGUCCUAGCCCUAAACGAUCAGGACUUGGGGUGCAUCCCGACGGGGUGCGUCCCGUAGCUAACGCGUUAAGUCCUG
rnacentral:rRNA from 1 species